AAUAAGACCACAUAAUUUUAAAGUUAGCAAAUAUCAGUGACCAUUGAAAAGAGAUUUGAACAAGAGUUCCCAGAACAAAAAUGAUGUUUUCUUAGGUAGUUCUACCACCUGAGGGUCAUCCUAUCAACAGGGAAAUAAGUUCAACUUUGUCAUAAAUUUUAGAAUUCUACCAAACAAAGGAGAAUUAUUAAGUGGACUCUUCCUCUGGUAAAUCAUUCUAAGUGAGGCUUCCUAACAUCUUACUAGCCUAGGAUUAAUAUCAGCCCAUUUUUUGGAGGAGAACCAACAAGACUGGCUAUUUGACUGGAUCCCCCAAUUGGUUUACUCCAAGAUUCCUCUUCAUUGGCUUAAGAAGAUACAAGACAGGAGUCUCCAAUCCUUAGACCAUGGACCAAUAUCAACCAUGGCCAGUUAGCAACCCGGUAACAAAGCAGGAGGAAUAUGUUUAAUACUGUUCAAAAGAAGAGAAGGAAAGAAAAGCAAAAAGAACAGAGGAAAAGAAACCCAGAGGCAAGGAAUAAAAAAGUCCUAUACAAAAAGACUCCACCACAAAGAAGAUUGAGAGGCACAAGGAAAAUCAGCCCUGAGAAGUAAAUACUGUUGCUGUCAUCCCUAUUUUACAAAUGAGGAAACAAAAAUAGAGAAAUGAAGCAAUUUGUCCAAGAUCACUCUGCUGGCAAGCAACAGAACCAGGAGUUUAACCCAGAGAUGGAGUCUCACUAUGUUGCCCAGG
rnacentral:lncRNA from 1 species